rnacentral:misc_RNA from 1 species
GAAGAAAGAAAGCCCUAGAAACAUGCAUCUCUGAUUUUUCAUAGCAGACAAAUCACAUUGUCCAAAACAUCUAUAAAGAUACCAAAGCCCCACACCUUGACCACAAGUACUCAUUCACUUGUUAAAUCUUUCAAUGUAAUUUGGUUUAGUUGUUAUGCUAUUGCAUUAGAAUUCAAGUCAAUGAUAUUAUAAAUUUGAAUUAAAAUCAAUUUAUAAUCAAAUAAAUAUAUAUUUUUUUUUAUCUAAAUUCAUUUAUUUAAAAUGACUUAAUUUUCUUAAUUAAUUGAAUUAAAUUCUAACCACUAUAAUAUCUUUUUUAAUUUUAGAACUUUCAUUUUUCUUUUUUUUUUCUUCCUUCUUCCCUGCAAUUAUCUGCAAAUAUAGAAUGCACCAGUGUAAUAAUUUGAUACACGUAGUUAUUUUAUUUUUUUUUAAACACAAAAAUUUUCCAAUUUUUUAACAAGCCCAGUUGGAUGUAGUCUCAUGUGUUACCCCACGAGGGCCUAAUCUAAUAUUUUUGUUGGGCCAAGGCCCAACAAGAAAUGUAUUCUCCAGUUCAGAAAUGACAAGCUUAUUGCUCAAAUACCCUAAUGGCAGAAAAUUUUCUCUUUAUCUGAAAAACUAACAAGCACAAAUGAAAUAAUUACAAAAAUAUGAAUAAAUUAUAGGCUUAUGAGCUGACUUCAUUCUAUCAGGCUCAUAAGCAUAUGCCAAUACAAGGGGACAAGAGAAGACAAUAUUAAAGAAGACAGCAAGGUAAUAGUAGCCUAAUUCUAAGUUGAGAGAAAACCUGUCAGUGGGAAAAUAUAUGGGAGCACCAAGCACACCUUAUAUGAUUGCCCAAAACUUCUUUUUACAAAUUAGCACUGUUUCAAGCUUCUUUUCUUUGUUUUCCAGAGAAUGUGAUUUAACCUCCCAUAGAAAUUUUGGAGCCAAAUCACGGAUUCUUGAGGUAAUGGCUUCCUCAUCUCUAAUGAAAAUAUAUCCCCGAGGCCGUAUAAUCCUGUCCAUCUCCAGCAUGAUAUCUUCUAGUAAGCAACCUUCUCCAUGGUUUCUAUAAUGAUUGAAGAGAUUAUUGGCAUGCACAAAUCGUAUGUGCGCAGAUAUGUUGAGAAUGGUUCACACCAAUCAUGAAAAGCACCUAACAGACCCCGAUCAUAAAGAGCGGACAAUGUAUUAUUCAUGUUCACAGGAACCAUAUUCAUCACCCAAACAGGCAAUGUGUUCAAAGCCACAGCAAAUCCACCAAGAAAAGCAUUCAUGUCCAUGAUGUUUCGAAUAUCCAUCUCACCGACGUCCAUAAGCUUCCAGUAAUUGCUGACUUGAUUUUGCCAGAAUAUCGCAUCUGAAGCAAACUCUUCUUUGCUAAUACCUGCAAUAAGCAUGUCCAGAAAUUAAUGUGUCAGAGUGAAAUGUUUCAAGUAUAUUUCUGAGUAAUCAUAACAAUGACUCUAAAUGAUAAGGCUACAUACGCAAAGGUUCCUGAUUUAAAUGUUACUUGUCAAUCAUAAUAUAUACAUAUAUAUAUUUUCUUUUUUCCAAAUGAUCAAUUUUCAAGAUGCAAACAAAAAGUGCCUUUUGCUUCCAAAUUAACAAAAACAAAAAGUUGCUAACCAAAUGCUACCUCAUUUUAUACAGUCAACAAGAAUUGUACUUUUUUGCACCUAAAUCAAAAGUUUUCUGUCAAAUUAAACCAAAAGAAAAAAAAGGGGUUUAAUUGCACAUUUGACAAUAGAACAAGCAUUUAUAAAUGCAUUUGGUCUGAUUUUCCUUUUUCACUAUGCUUAUCACCAUGCAACUGAAAAUCUCAUAAUGUGCUAAAUUUUAAAAAUAAAGCAUCCUUUUUAGCCAUUUUUUUCAAAUAGCAUGUCAGAAUGUGAAAAAGUUAUUAGAUAUGAAGCAGGGUAAUGAACAGAAUGUGGUUAAAGCAAAAAUAAAAGCUGUUUAAGCUCAAAAAAGAUUACGGGAUAAAACAAAAACCUAUUUUGAUAGGACUCUUAGAAUAGACAGAGAGAUGCUCUGGCCUGGGAGGGAGUUUCUGAGCAUUGGUUUGUGCACCUCUUCUUGGUAUACAGUUCCUCAAAGGGGUAUUCCACGAUGGUUUAAUAUCAUCCACAUUAUCACACAUAUUUAUUAGCUUCAUUUCUGCAUUGUGCAUUAGGCAAGACUCAUUUUCUUGUUUAAACCAGAUUGCUGUCUGAAUUUUUCGAGCAAUGAGUUUCCAUUGCUGAAGUCAGAUUGACCAACUAUUCCCAAAUCAGUGGAUAAUCUUUAUCCUUUCUGUAAGCUGGAGGAGCUGAAUAGACAAAAUAUCCAUUAUAUCGCAGAACACGGUUAACUUCUUUCAGUAAAAUACCAUCAUUCUCAUGCCAAUCAACACGACACCUUGAACAAUGAACCAUCUCAAAAGAGCUAGAGGGAUAUGGGAGUUGCUUUGUGGCAAUAGCAGAGAUCAUAACACCAAUUCCUCGUUCUAAAGCAAACUGAAUUUGAUUUUCGUGGCCAUCUUUGGGAGCAAAUGACAUUGUUUGCAUAUCCAGGGGAAGAAGAUAAGCUGAGAAGCUAGCAACCCUGCAGCCAACAUCCAGAACUUGAAAAACCCCAGCUGAAUGUAGAUCACCCGUUUCAUUAGUUGUCAUAUUUCCUAACCUCUGAAUGUACUCAGGAGCUCCAUGCUUGAAAUGAGUACCACCACCAGGGAACCACCAUAAUUGAUCCUUUUCAUGCACCCAAUUUUGUCCUCCUUUGACUUCAGCAAGAUGCGUAUGAUUCACAUUGCUUCACCACACAUAAUCCGGGCUGGUUGACCAUUUUAUUGGCAAUUUAUAAUCUUUUGGUGGUGGCACCAAGCAAAAUAGACGUUUUUCAGGUGGGGGGCAAUGCCUCUCUAACUCUUCUCGUCUAGAAAGAUCUAAGCUUGGGAGUAUACUUUUCACAUAUAAAACAUCAUGGCAAGGGAUAUACUCAUUGAACUUCAAGAGGCAUACAUUCAUCCCACUUUCUGGGAUCAACAAUGGUGUUUUGCUGUAAGCAAAAGCAAUUUUGUUGGUAAAUGUGAACACAUCGGGGGAGGAAGGAGAAGAGGAGGAACUAGAGGAAGAGAAUUGAGAGAUAUAAAUGGGAUCAUUGUUGCCAAAGAGAGUGCCUAAGUAGAAUGAACCCACCAUUAAUAACAAAGCCAACAUUAUCAUCUGCCCUGAUUUCAAAUCAAAAGCC